rnacentral:snRNA from 1 species
UUAAUCUAUUGCUAUUAUCUAAAAAAUAUUGAAAAUAUUACAGAGGAGAUUAGGAUCACCCCAUGCAAGGAUGAGAUGCUGACUCAUGAAUCAUUCCAUAAUUUU